rnacentral:rRNA from 1 species
UACGUAGGGCGCAAGCGUUGUCCGGAAUUAUUGGGCGUAAAGAGCUCGUAGGCGGUUUGUCGCGUCUGCUGUGAAAACCCGAGGCUCAACCUCGGGCCUGCAGUGGGUACGGGCAGACUAGAGUGUGGUAGGGGAGACUGGAAUUCCUGGUGUAGCGGUGGAAUGCGCAGAUAUCAGGGAGGGAACACCAAUGGCGAAGGCACGGUC